CUGGGAGGACCAUCUCCUAAGGCUAAAUACUCUCUAGUGACCGAUAGUGAACCAGUACCGUGAGGGAAAGGUGAAAAGCACCCCGGAAGGGGAGUGAAAUAGAACCUGAAACCGUGUGCUUACAAGUAGUCAGAGCCCGUUAAUGGGUGAUGGCGUGCCUUUUGUAGAAUGAACCGGCGAGUUACGAUUUGAUGCAAGGUUAAGCAGUAAAUGUGGAGCCGUAGCGAAAGCGAGUCUGAAUAGGGCGUUUAGUAUUUGGUCGUAGACCCGAAACCAGGUGAUCUACCCUUGGUCAGGUUGAAGUUCAGGUAACACUGAAUGGAGGACCGAACCGACUUACGUUGAAAAGUGAGCGGAUGAACUGAGGGUAGCGGAGAAAUUCCAAUCGAACCUGGAGAUAGCUGGUUCUCUCCGAAAUAGCUUUAGGGCUAGCCUCAAGUGAUGAUUAUUG
rnacentral:rRNA from 1 species